rnacentral:rRNA from 1 species
UACAGAGGGUGCAAGCGUUGUUCGGAAUUAUUGGGCGUAAAGCGCGUGUAGGCGGCUUUGCAAGUCGGGUGUGAAAGCCCUCAGCUCAACUGAGGAAGUGCGCCCGAAACUGCAGAGCUUGAGUGCCGGAGAGGGUGGCGGAAUUCCCCAAGUAGAGGGUGAAAUUCGUAAGAUAUGGGGAGGAACACCGGUGGCGAAGGGCAGGC